rnacentral:rRNA from 1 species
UUUGUUACUUCAAACCAAUCGGACUUCGGUCUGACAUCAAGUGAUAUUGAACAAUUUAGCUGAUCGCACGGUCUAAGAACCGGCGACAUAUCCUUCAAAUGUCUGCCUUAUCAACUUUCGAUGGUAGAUUAUGCGCCUACCAUGGUUGUAACGGGUAACGGAGAAUCAGGGUUUGAUUCCGGAGAGGGAGCCUGAGAAACGGCUACCACAUCCAAGGAAGGCAGCAGGCACGCAAAUUACCCACUCCCGGCACGGGGAGGUAGUGACGAAAAAUAACAAGCUGGUCUCAAUGAGUUCCAGCAUUGUAAUGGGAACAAUUUAAAUCUUUUAUCGAGGAUCUAUUGGAGGGCAAGUCUGGUGCCAGCAGCCGCGGUAAUUCCAGCUCCAAUAGCGUAUAUUAACGUUGUUGCGGUUAAAAAGCUCGUAGUUGGAUCUAGGAUUAGGGCUACGGUCGUUCAGCUUGGACGUACUGUAUGCCCGACUCCUUUUCUCUAGUAUUCGAUUGUUGCUCUUAAAUGAGUGACUUUAGUUGCUGGAACUUUUACCUUGAAAAAAUUGAAGUGCUCAAAGCAGGUU